GGUGAAUCGGAUUGCCAUAAGGGCACGGAA
rnacentral:piRNA from 1 species